rnacentral:rRNA from 1 species
UACGGAGGGUGCAAGCGUUGUCCGGAUUCACUGGGCUUAAAGGGUGCGUAGGCGGGCAGGUAAGUCAGUGGUGAAAUCCUAGAGCUUAACUCUAGAACUGCCAUUGAUACUAUCUGGCUUGAAUAUUGUGGAGGUAAGCGGAAUAUGUCAUGUAGCGGUGAAAUGCUUAGAUAUGACAUAGAACACCUAUUGCGAAGGCAGCUUACUGCGAAUAUAUUGACGCUGAGGCACGAAAGCGUGGGGAGCAAACAGG